rnacentral:rRNA from 1 species
AUUGAACGCUGGCGGCAGGCCUAACACAUGCAAGUCGAGCGGUAACACAGGGAGCUUGCUCCUGGGUGACGAGCGGCGGACGGGUGAGUAAUGUCUGGGAAACUGCCUGAUGGAGGGGGAUAACUACUGGAAACGGUAGCUAAUACCGCAUAACGUCGCAAGACCAAAGAGGGGGACCUUCGGGCCUCUUGCCAUCAGAUAUGCCCAGAUGGGAUUAGCUAGUAGGUGGGGUAACGGCUCACCUAGGCGACGAUCCCGAGCUGGUCUGAGAGGCUGACACGCCACACUGGAACUGAGACACGGUGCAGACGCCGACGGGAGGCCGCAGUGGAGAAUAUUGCAGAAUGGGCGCAAGCCUGAUGCAGCCAUGCCGCGUGUAUGAAGAAGGCCUUCGGGUUGUAAAGUACUUUCAGCGGUGAGGAAGGUGUUGAGGUUAAUAACCUCAGCAAUUGACGUUACCCGCAGAAGAAGCACCGGCUAACUCCGUGCCAGCCGCCGCGGUAA